rnacentral:misc_RNA from 1 species
AGUCGACAGACGGCGUGCGUAGGAAUAUUCACCGUGACGCAAUAAGAAUUCGUCCUUUCCGUCGCGCUACUGUGAGUGGAACAUGUCGUAUACCUCUGAAAAAAGAAACGACGAUCAAUGGUCGGCCGACUCUAAAAAUGGUCCGAGCGAGAGCGAACAGCCUGCCUAUGACGGACCUCCAGGAAUGGACCCCGAUGGUGUCAUCGAGUCCAACUGGGAAGUCGUUGUCGACAACUUCGAUGACAUGAACUUGAAAGAAGAGCUUUUGCGUGGUAUUUAUGCAUAUGGUUUUGAGAAGCCAUCAGCUAUCCAACAACGUGCUAUCCUUCCUUGUGUCAAAGGUCAUGAUGUCAUUGCUCAAGCCCAGUCUGGUACUGGUAAAACAGCAACAUUCUCCAUUUCUAUCCUGCAGCAGAUAGACACCAGUAUUCGUGAAUGCCAGGCUUUGAUUUUGGCACCAACUCGUGAGUUAGCUCAACAGAUUCAAAAGGUAGUUAUUGCCCUGGGAGAUUUCAUGCAGGCACAAUGCCACGCUUGUAUUGGAGGAACAAACGUUCGCGAUGACAUGCGAAAAUUGGAGGCGGGCAUACACGUUGUUGUUGGUACUCCUGGCCGCGUUUACGACAUGAUCAGUCGACAUUCAUUACGUGCAUCCAGCAUCAAGCUUUUCGUAUUGGAUGAAGCCGACGAGAUGCUUUCCCGUGGUUUCAAAGAUCAAAUUCACGAUGUAUUCAAACUACUCCCUGCCGAAGUUCAGGUGAUAUUGCUUUCGGCUACGAUGCCUGCUGAUGUGCUCGACGUGUCAAAAUGUUUCAUGAGAAGUCCAAUUCGUAUUUUGGUGAAGAAAGAGGAGUUGACCCUCGAGGGUAUAAAGCAGUUCUUCGUUUACGUUGAACGAGAGGAUUGGAAAUUGGAAACUCUUUGCGACUUGUACGACACGCUGAGUAUCACUCAGGCAGUUAUUUUCUGCAACACGCGGCGCAAGGUAGACUGGCUUACCGACAACAUGCAUCACCGUGAUUUCACCGUAUCAGCUAUGCACGGGGAUAUGGAACAAAAGGAACGCGAUGUCAUUAUGAGACAAUUCCGUACUGGUUCUUCCAGAGUUCUCAUCACCACCGAUUUACUAGCUCGUGGUAUUGACGUCCAACAAGUUUCGCUUGUCAUUAACUACGAUCUACCUUCCAACCGAGAAAACUAUAUUCACAGAAUUGGACGCGGUGGACGAUUUGGUCGUAAGGGAGUAGCCAUUAACUUUGUCACUGAGGACGACAAGCGUACCCUCAAGGAUAUCGAGCAAUUCUACAACACCCGCAUUGAGGAGAUGCCAAUGAACGUUGCAGAUUUGAUCUAAUCAAAAAGAAAGAAAAAAAAAAUCCAGAACAAAAAACAAACAGCAAAAAAAAAAAAAUCUGAAUCUAUUGGCUAUAAUAAUAAUUCAUUAUAAUAACAAAUAAAAAGUGGCAAAAUAAGAGCUCUCAACUAACUGAUCUCUCAUGGUGCAUUUUCGGACAGUCCACCAGUGGGGAGAUUAAUGUUGGAAAUAAAGACCAAAUUUCCUAA